CACUGGUCCUCAGCCCUUCCCUAUUUAAAGGGAUUUGAAGCAAAAUCGCCCAAACUCUUCCCGGCAACUACAGCUACGAGAAAAUGUCAGCUGGCGAUGAAUCUUCUUGCGAUUACUCGCGUCUCUACCUUCUGAUCCACGAAACCCUCCUUCCGCAUAUUGAAUUCGAGAUGAUUGUUUUGACGAAAGAGAAGGAGAAAGAUCUUCUUAUUGCUCUUUCUCAGGUUUUCAGGAAGAUUCAGAUGUGGACGUGUGAACUUGAUGAAAAUUCAGAUGAGGAUGUGGCAGAAAAAGCUACCUGUGAGAAGAGAUGCUUGGAACUGCAAUCUUAUGGCCAUCCCUACUUAACUUAUAUUCUAGCUGACUUGGUAACUGUGCUGAAGAUUGACUGUCAAUAUGUGCAACAUUUGGCUGGCAAUGUUCUUGUAAUCAUUGCUGAAUUUUUAGCAGCUUCGGGCAGGAAAUGGAAUAUUUUCAUUCAGUUGUUAUGCAUUUGUCUGGAGUUGGCAAUCGCGAACAUAUCCAUUUCUUUUGCACCUUCAACAGCUGGAGCUGAUGUCUCGUAUUUUGAUUCAUCAAGUUUUUUUGCAGUCGUAAGUCUUAAAUUGAAAAAUGCUACCUGGACCACCGUGGCAGGAAUUAUUCGAGUUUUACGCAGUAUAUUGAAAAAUAUAAAACAAGACUGUGAGAACCAACUUGUUGAAAUAUACGUACAUUCUAUCAGUUCUUGUAUUUUAAAUUUGCCUUGGGAUUCUUUGGAUGGCAAUAUUCUUGGUCAGAAAGACGAUGCACCAAGAAGAGGUAUCGAGUCUUUUCUUAUCAACAAUGUGGAUGAAAAUGAGCCAAGAGUGAUCUUUCUGGGGAAUUUAAUUCAGUUGCUCUGUUCAUUGGUUGAGCAAAUAAUUUUCAUGCAAGUAAAAGGUGGUUCACUGGAAUGCUCGGUUUUACGCAUAAUCGUUAAUCUCAUACCUAAACUUCUAUCUUGGUGCCUCGGCAAGCAAGGGGAUUGUGUUAACAUGCCAGUCUCUGAGUACUUCAGACACAAGCUACUGAUGCUAAUGAUCAGACUUAGUUUCCAAAAUUGCCUGGAAUAUUCCAUUUUUGUUUCAUGGUUGCAACUUCUCCAUCAGUUCUAUCCAGAAUUUCUGUUGAAACCCAUAGCUGAAAGUGAGUCUGUUCCAAAGGACAGUCUCGAAGGUUCUCCAUUUCUUUCUGGCAUUUCUGAUGGAGAAUUAUACGGAAUGCAUUCUUGUCAUUUACAAAGACAGGCUAUUUUCCUUUUCUUAAGGUGUUCUAUCAGCUUGAUUAAUCAGAAAGGAGAAACUGACAAGCAUAGUGAAUAUGCAACUCCCAACUCAUGCUUGACCUUUGGCUCAAGUUCAGACUUGGAUUCUUGCAGUAGGAAGAAAGGCUUAUCAGAGCUACAUAAAUGGCUUCAAAAGCAGCUUCCAAAUGAUAUGAUUGUUGACUACAGAAGGUAUUGGGGGACGUGUAUCAAUUUUUCCACAGCCUUCCUCCAACUAUUUAUGCAUGAGGAUGAUUUGCUAUUUAAAGUGCUCUUUGAACUGCUCAGUGUACCGUUGUCUACAGAAGAAAAGUUUCAUGAAGAAAAUUGGGCAUGUCAGGAUGUGAAAGAAAAUAUUGUUUUUCAUGUGUCCAACAUUUUCAAUCCUGUACAUAUAUUCCAUCUAUUCCUGGCAGAGUUGCACUAUGAUCACGAAGUGCUACUUGAUUACCUUAUAUCAAAAGACACGGGAGUCAGUUGUGCAGAGUAUCUUUUAAGGUGCUUGCGUAUAAUAUGUAAUUCGUGGCACUUAUUUGUGGAAUUCUCUGUAAAUGAGCAAACUAUAAGUCAAACAUCUUGCAAGAAAAGAAAAACUAUAUUUGACGCUGAUUCUCAGCCAAGGCUAUCAUCUGCAUCUGUGAUGGAUGUUCUUCCCUCGAGGGAGAAGGAAAGGAGAAAAGGUGAUGAAAUUGGCUGCAAACACUAUAAAACUAGCGGCCAGCCUUUCAAGGAAGGCAAAGAUUGUUUGCUUUCCUUGAAAAAAUCUGUGGAAAAUCUUCAUGGGAAGAAUUUAUUUCCAUACAAUCCUGAAGUAUUACUCAAACGUUUGACAAGAUUUCAGGAGCUCUGCUUUAUACAAUGGAACUACGACCAAGCAAGGACAGCAAGAACUUCGUAAGAACUUGAGCUCGCUGAGAAAAAAUGUAAAUGUCUUACAAUUGGCUUGAAGAAUGAGCGAAUCAAAUGAUUUCUCUGAGGUGGUUAGACGCGCAUGGUAAUGUUUACCGUUACAAUCUAGAGAUGAUUGUAAAAAGUGCUGAAGAACUUUUGUUAAUGGGCCUGACAACUCUCAAACCUUCACACUUUGUGAGCUCCAGUUCAUAUCAUCCCAGACGUAUCAGUUUCUUACACUAGUGGCUGGCUAAUCUGUGCAUUUUGGUGUAUUUAAUGAAUCCGAAGGACAGGAUAAUAGCAAGAUACUAGCCACUUUUCUGGUCAAAUCUUUGCCAUUCUAUGGCGAUGCUAGCGUGCUAGAGGAAACAGUGCUCAACAAGGAGAAUACGAAUCAGUUUGUCGAGUUUAUAUUGCCUGUGACCAGCACUACACAAUGAGGAAUUUUCAGAGAUUGGACAAUCGAGGACUACCCGAGGGAUGAGGUGAAGGUAAUCUCUGGAUCCAAUCCAUUGGUCAUAUUGACCAAACUCUUAAGAGCUCUAUUUAAGCCUUCUGGACAUCUUAGAAAAAUUAUCUUGAUAAGCCUGCAUGGUCAUGUUCUUAAAACAACAGAGUUGAACGGCACCCAGCUGAUUCUCUCUGUUUAAACACGUUAAUCGCAUGACCAAACAUACAUGUAGACCUUAUGAUAUCUACAUUCUACACGAGACAAUCACAAAGCUCUCGUGUCUUCGAAUUCGUAGGCAUAUGAUCUGCCCCCUUAAUCUCCAGCACGUCUUGAAUUGGACUGUUAUGGAUCAUCCAACGCUGGAACUCAACUGGUAUAGCUUUAUCUUCAUCGCACAGAACAUACACCCCGUGUUACUAAUACUGCCCCAUAACCUUCAUUGUAGAACUAGUUUAUCUUAGCCAAGAGACCCCAGAGUUAUUAAUUGUCCGGUCGACAGGGCUCCUACGUUUGGGCCUUUUGGGCUUUGGGGAUUGGCCCAUUGGAAUUAUUAAACACGUUCGCAAUCCUCUUGCCUAUUCCAGUCAUUCCGGCAUGUUUUAAAGGUCAAUAAUCGAUAAAUACAGUCACAGAUAGACAAGACGACAAGAAUUAAGGGAAGGCUGUUGAACGGAAAGCAACCGUCCCUAAACGACGCCGUUCUUCAUGAAGCGCUUCAUACAGCGCUUACAGGCGACGCCGGAUUUGUCGUAUUCACCUUCUAGAAUUGAGCAUCUUCCUUGGCAAAUGUCAAAGUCGUGUACAUUCACUGUUACAGAUAUUAAUUCGUCAGCGACCAGAAAAGGAAGGCUCGAGUGAAGGCACUCGUUUGGCGAGUUGUGACUGACUCGUCGCUUCUCCAACUCAUCUGUGUUCAGUAAUGUGAUUCAGCCGAGUCAGAUGGGCCUGUGUUUAACGUCCUGAGUUGCUAUGAGAUUUGAAAGAAAUUAUGUCGUUCUAGCUCUAUUGCUUUCGUCGAGUUAGAAGCGUAGGCGGAUAGUGAUAAUGGAUCGGGCGACGAUUACUGGCGGGCCUGGUAUGGACAUGCCGAUUAUGCACGAUAGCGACCGGUAUGACUUAGUUCGCGAUAUCGGCUCGGGAAAUUUCGGUGUAGCGAGGCUCAUGAGUCAUGAGAGACAAGGUCACCGAGGAGCUUGUUGCUGUGAAGUAUAUUGAGAGAGGCGAUAAGAUUGUUGCAGAGGCUACCAUACCGGCUACCAUACACUACAGUGUUAGUAUCGUGGGGAUAUGAAUCUUUGUAGAUCACAGGACGUGUGUGGAAUAUCUGGCAGAUUAACAUCAUUGCAUCAUUCACAACCUCACAAAGAGCAGCAUAUGCUCCUUGAAUAUGUGUUCUUCACAGUUUGCAGGAUUUAUACCUUAGCACAGAGGAAUUUAUUUAAUGAUUAAUGUGGCAGGUGGUAGAAACUUGGGUGUAUUGCAUAUUCCCUUGAACCUUAUUUAUGUAUAAUUUGUUGAAUUAGUUGUGUCCUCUGAGUGUUUAUUGGUCUGGCUGGACAAGCAUGUAUGUAUAAUAUAUCAGACUUCAGGUUCUGUAAGUUCCUCUAUAUUGAUGGUGACUCCUA